rnacentral:rRNA from 1 species
UACGAGGGGGGCAAGCGUUGUUCGGAAUUAUUGGGCGUAAAGGGCGCGUAGGCGGUGCGGUAAGUCACCUGUGAAAACUCUGGGCUCAACUCAGAGCCUGCAGGCGAAACUGCCGGACUAGAGUUCGGAAGAGGCGAGUGGAAUUCCCGGUGUAGCGGUGAAAUGCGCAGAUAUCGGGAGGAACACCUGUGGCGAAGGCGGCUCUCUGGGACGGUACUGACGCUGAGACGCGAAAGCGUGGGGAGCGAACAGG